CCCAGCGGCGUCCCGCGCCUGCGCCUGCGCCUGCGCCUGCGCUCCGCGGGCCUGUGCCCCCCAGUCGCCUCCGAGGAGUCAGGCGGUAGCUUCUUACUCUGGCAGGGCGGUUCUUAGGGUCGCUCUCCAGUCAAGUCCAAGCAUCACCAGGGGGGGAGAACAACUGUCUUGAAACAUGUGUAAAUACUGCCUUGGGAGGUUAAGCUCUGCAGCUCAACCCAAGGAGAUGAGAGCUCCAGGGGCUCCCAGUGGUCAAAGAGGAGCAAAGCUGGCAGGUGUGGCCCACAGCUUCUCUUCAAGCAUCAUGGCCAAAGAAAUCCUCCCUCCUCACUCCUCCCCAACACUGCAAAAAGCUCACCCUCUGUUCCUACAAGGGAGCUGCAAUCAGAAGGCUGCAGAACUCAGAACUCAAUAGUUCUCAACCUGGGCUGAGAGUGGAGGUUAUAUCCUUUGGUCUUGCAUCCUGUAUGAUGUUGGGUGCUCACAACCUCCUUUGCAGCUGGGAGGGCUGAUUCCAAAGAGGUGUCUGUUUUGGGGAGACAUACAGAGGAUGGAGAAGUUUUCAACCAGAUAUGGAGGCAGCUGGGGUUUCUGUGAGGCUAAGCCCUAGUUACAGGUUCAUGGACUUUAGGUACUAAUUGGCUUUGACCUUUUUUCAUCAUUGGUAUCAUUUUUUAAAUAAAAUGUAUGAAACAAAAUUCA